CCUUAUUCAGAGUAGCGGAGGGAACAGGCCCUGUGAAGCUCGGCAACCUGCCGGAAGGAACGUGCUGACGCGUGUCCGACUGCGCAAGGUGCUAAAUCCUGCGGCAACGGCCGAAAGAUAAGG
rnacentral:ncRNA from 1 species